ensembl:lncRNA novel transcript
GAGAGCGGAAGUGGCGUUGGUCUGGCCGGAGCCCUUGGGUGAAAUUGUUAGGCGUGGAGAGGGAGUGAUGUCUUCCAGACUCGGUGCUGUACCCGCCUAGCAGGACCCAGUGCUCCAUAAAGGAUAAUAGUUUCCAGUACACUAUCCCUCAUGAUGACUCCUUAAGUGGUUCAUCGUCUGCAUCUUCGUGUGAACCAGUGAGUGAUUUUCCAGCAUCUUUCCGAAAAUCUACCUACUGGAUGAAGAUGAGAAGAAUCAAGCCAGCUGCUACUUCUCAUGUCGAAGGGUCAGGUGGAGUAUCAGCCAAGGGGAAAAGGAAACCCAGGCAGGAAGAAGAUGAAGACUAUCGAGAAUUUCCUCAGAAGAAGCAUAAGCUUUAUGGGAGGAAGCAACGGCCUAAAACUCAGCCCAAUCCCAAAUCCCAGGCCCGUCGUAUUCGGAAGGAACCACCAGUUUAUGCAGCAGGAAAUGUUUACUUGUCAUCAUUGUGGGAAACAACUUCGUUCACUGGCAGGGAUGAAGUAUCAUGUCAUGGCAAAUCAUAAUAGUUUGCCCAUUUUGAAAGCCGGAGAUGAAAUAGAUGAGCCAAGUGAGAGGGAAAGGCUCCGAACAGUUCUAAAGAGACUGGGAAAGCUCAGGUGCAUGCGUGAGAGUUGCUCCAGUAGCUUCACCAGCAUCAUGGGAUAUCUCUACCAUGUCAGAAAAUGUGGCAAAGGGGCUGCAGAGCUGGAAAAGAUGACCCUGAAAUGUCACCACUGUGGAAAACCAUAUAGGUCGAAGGCUGGACUUGCAUAUCACCUGAGGUCAGAGCAUGGGCCUAUAUCCUUCUUUCCAGAGUCAGGACAGCCAGAGUGCUUAAAGGAGAUGAACCUAGAGUCAAAGAGUGGGGGCCGAGUUCAGAGACGUUCUGCCAAGAUAGCUGUAUACCACCUACAGGAGCUGGCCUCUGCUGAACUGGCCAAGGAAUGGCCCAAGAGGAAGGUGCUUCAGGACCUGGUACCUGAUGAUCGAAAGUUAAAAUAUACUCGUCCAGGGCUCCCUACCUUCAGCCAGGAAGUACUACAUAAAUGGAAGACAGAUAUCAAGAAAUAUCAUCGUAUUCAGUGUCCUAACCAGGGCUGUGAGGCUGUCUACAGCAGUGUAUCUGGCCUUAAAGCUCACCUGGGCUCUUGUACAUUGGGAAACUUUGUGGCUGGAAAAUACAAAUGUCUUCUAUGUCAGAAAGAAUUUGUGUCAGAGAGUGGUGUCAAGUAUCACAUCAACUCCGUCCAUGCUGAGGACUGGUUCGUUGUAAACCCAACAACAACCAAAAGCUUUGAAAAGCUGAUGAAGAUAAAGCAGCGGCAGCAAGAAGAAGAAAAGCGGAGGCAGCAGCACAGGAGCAGAAGAGGCUCACAGGACACCUGCAUGCCCAAGGCACUCCACCGUAUGUGAUCAACCUGGAUCCAGCAGUACAUGAAGUUCCCUUUCCUGCCAAUAUUGAUAUUCGUGAUACUGUAAAGUAUAAAGAAGUAAUGAAACAAUAUGGACUUGGACCCAAUGGCGGCAUAGUGACCUCACUCAAUCUCUUUGCUACCAGAUUUGAUCAGGUGAUGAAAUUUAUUGAGAAGGCCCAGAACAUGUCCAAAUAUGUGUUGAUUGACACACCUGGACAGAUUGAGGUAUUCACCUGGUCAGCUUCUGGGACAAUUAUCACUGAAGCCCUUGCAUCCUCAUUUCCAACAGUUGUCAUCUAUGUAAU